UAUUUGCCAAAAAAAGUUAUAUUUUUUUACCACAAAUUUCUUAGUAUAUUAAUUAUUAGGCUAAAUGAUAAGAAAAUCCAAUACUUUUGUGCUUGUGUCAAUGUUAGCCUUACCUAUCACUUUUAUCAAUUAUAGCCUAAAUUUUAGGAUAAUGGUGUCAAUUGUACCAAUAUUCUGUUGGACAUUCCAUUUGGGCCUUUACAAGUCUCAUAUUGUACAGUGAGAUGUCAAAUGACUUCCAUUUACAAUUUUUUUUUUUCUAAAG
rnacentral:misc_RNA from 1 species